GAUGAACGCUGGCGGCGUGCCUAAUACAUGCAAGUCGAGCGAACGGACGAGAAGCUUGCUUUUCUGAUGUUAGCGGCGGACGGGUGAGUAACACGUGGAUAAUCUACCUAUAAGACUGGGAUAACUUCGGGAAACCGGAGCUAAUACCGGAUAAUAUUUUGAACCGCAUGGUUCAAAAGUGAAAGACGGUCUUGCUGUCACUUAUAGAUGGAUCCGCGCUGCAUUAGCUAGUUGGUAAGGUAACGGCUUACCAAGGCAACGAUGCAUAGCCGACCUGAGAGGGUGAUCGGCCACACUGGAACGGAGACACGGUCCAGACUCCUACGGGAGGCAGCAGUAGGGAAUCUUCCGCAAUGGGCGAAAGCCUGACGGAGCAACGCCGCGUGAGUGAUGAAGGUCUUCGGAUCGUAAAACUCUGUUAUUGGGGAAGAACAUAUGUGUAAGUAACUGUGCACAUCUUGACGGUACCUAAUCAGAAAGCCACGGCUAACUACGUG
rnacentral:rRNA from 1 species